AACGAACGCUGGCGGCAUGCCUAACACAUGCAAGUCGAACGAGACCUUCGGGUCUAGUGGCGCACGGGUGCGUAACGCGUGGGAACAUGCCCUUAGGUUCGGAAUAACUCCCCGAAAGGGGUGCUAAUACCGGAUAAUGUCUUCGGACCAAAGAUUUAUCGCCUUUGGAUGGGCCCGCGUUGGAUUAGCUAGUUGGUAGGGUAAAAGCCUACCAAGGCGACGAUCCAUAGCUGGUCUGAGAGGAUGAUCAGCCACACUGGGACUGAGACACGGCCCAGACUCCUACGGGAGGCAGCAGUGGGGAAUAUUGGACAAUGGGCGAAAGCCUGAUCCAGCAAUGCCGCGUGAGUGAUGAAGGCCUUAGGGUUGUAAAGCUCUAUUACCCGGGAUGAUAAUGACAGUACCGGGAGAAUAAGCUCCGGCUAACUCCGUG
rnacentral:rRNA from 1 species